GGCCAACUGCUGUGACUGGAGCGCCACGAUAGAAGCGAGAUCCGAAUUAUCAGGCAGAGGAACCCCACCGGGAUCCCUGGCCAGAUCUUGCUGUUAUGGAGCUGGAUGUGGAUCCUCUAACCUGUGUGGCAGAUGACUCUGACCGUAUCGGGGAGCGGAGUCUAAGGUGCCGCUGGUCUUCACCAGAGCCCGCCGCAAAGCAGGAUGGGCUUGCUGCAGUAGGCGGCACCAAGGCCGCUACCCCCGACACGGCUCGACCACACAGGUAGCUGGGCCGGCGAGGUACCCAAGGAAGAGUCAGGGGCGUAGUGGAACUUAACAGAAGGUCAAAGCAGGCGGCAAAGGCAAAUGGCUCAAAGUGGCAGCCGGCAUUUUACACAUAGAACAAGCAAGGCUCACAGGAUGGUUUGCAGUCAGCCCUUGCUGUAUCACAGCCAAUCAUGAGGGAUUAUUGAGUUUCCUCAACUCCGAAAGGAGGAAAAAGGUUUUUGUUCACUUUGUAUAGACCUAUGAUAAUAUCUCCUCCCUCGAAUUACAUACCUGCUACCGGGGCUGAAAAUCUCCCAGUCAUGACAUCGAAGAAGUUUCCGACAUUAGUCUCCACACUGCUGAAGAUGAUUCCACUGUUGAUGUUGCUGAAGUGGGUGGCCAUAGAGGCCAUGAAGGCUACCUACAGAAGAAGAGGCCAUGGCUGGAGUUAUUCAGUGAUAU